GAAGUGAGUGGCGGACGGGUGAGUAACACGUGGGUAACCUGCCCAGAAGCAGGGGAUAACACCUGGAAACAGAUGCUAAUACCGUAUAACAGAGAAAACCGCCUGGUUUUCUUUUAAAAGAUGGCUCUGCUAUCACUUCUGGAUGGACCCGCGGCGCAUUAGCUAGUUGGUGAGGUAACGGCUCACCAAGGCGAUGAUGCGUAGCCGACCUGAGAGGGUAAUCGGCCACAUUGGGACUGAGACACGGCCCAGACUCCUACGGGAGGCAGCAGUAGGGAAUCUUCCACAAUGGACGCAAGUCUGAUGGAGCAACGCCGCGUGAGUGAAGAAGGGUUUCGGCUCGUAAAGCUCUGUUGUUAAAGAAGAACGUGGGUGAGAGUAACUGUUCACCCAGUGACG
rnacentral:rRNA from 1 species